rnacentral:rRNA from 1 species
AGGAUGAACGCUGGCGGCGUGCUUAACACAUGCAAGUCGAACGGUGAACUUGGGAGCUUGCUCCCGGGGGAUCAGUGGCGAACGGGUGAGUAACACGUGAGUAACCUGCCCUUGACUCUGGGAUAAGCACUGGAAACGGUGUCUAAUACCGGAUACGAGCUUCAGCCGCAUGGCUAGGAGCUGGAAAGAAUUUCGGUCAAGGAUGGACUCGCGGCCUAUCAGGUAGUUGGUGAGGUAAAGGCUCACCAAGCCGACGACGGGUAGCCGGCCUGAGAGGGUGACCGGGCCACGACUGGGACCGAGACACGGCCCAGACUCCUACGGGAGCAGCAGUGGGGAAUAUUGCACAAUGGGCGCAAGGCCUGAUGCAGCAACGCCGCGUGAGGGACGACGGCCUCGGUUGUAACCUCUUUAGUAGGAAGAAGACGAGGUGUUAGUUCACGUUCAUGACGGUACCUGCAGAAAAGCAACCGGCUAACUACGUAGCCAGCACGCCGCGGUAAUCG